GAACGCUAGCGGCAGGCCUAAUACAUGCAAGUCGAGGGGUAACAUGAGAGCUUGCUCUUGAUGACGACCGGCGCACGGGUGCGUAACGCGUAUGCAACCUACCCACAACUGGAGGAUAGCCCGGAGAAAUCCGGAUUAAUACUCCAUAAUGCAGGGGUACCUCCUGGUACUAUUUGCUAAAGAUUUAUCGGUUGUGGAUGGGCAUGCGUCUGAUUAGUUAGUUGGUGAGGUAACGGCUCACCAAGGCGAUGAUGUCUAGGGGUUCUGAGAGGAAGGUCCCCCACACUGGUACUGAGACACGGACCAGACUCCUACGGGAGGCAGCAGUAGGGAAUAUUGGGCAAUGGACGGAAGUCUGACCCAGCCAUGCCGCGUGCAGGAAGACGGCUUUCUGAGUUGUAAACUGCUUUUAUAUAGGAACAAAUAGGUCAUGCGUGACAAGUUGCGUGUACUAUAUGAAUAAGCACCGGCUAACUCCGUGCCAGCAGCCGCGGUAAU
rnacentral:rRNA from 1 species